AGGCUCUCCGUAGACGGGCUCUGGUUACACUUGAAUGAAUAGACUUUGAAUCAAAACCUUUUACUCCUUGACACCUUUCUAUCGUGAAUCAUUUUUAAUACCUCUUAAGUCGUUUUACUAUUUCUACUUUGUCCUUAAUCUUCCCUCAUUGUUUUCACAUCUUUAUCCACUUCCACUUGUUUUGAACGCCGCCCACACUACUAAAUUUGGAGGCAGCAACCUGAAGGGGAAGGAGAAGCUGCCACUGUUCGGAACCCGGAGUAUGCAGCACAAUAAAACGCCCGGCAAAAGCAGUAGGAGGAGGGGAGGAGGAGGAGGAGCAGCAGCAGCAGUAGGAGGAGGGGAGGAGGAGGAGGAGCAGCAGCAGCAGCAGCACAUCAAGUCAUCGGCAGGAACUCCCAAAUUAAAUGAAUUUAAAUAAAUGGUGUAAUCAAAUG